rnacentral:lncRNA from 1 species
UCUUGUAUAUCUGAAAGAGGAGCCUUGGAUUAACUACUAAAGUUACUGCCAUGUGAUUAGAAGGUCACGGGUUGAAGCCUUGAAAAUAGCCUUUGGUAGAAUUAUAAGGUAAGGCUGUGUAUAAUAGAACCUUAUGGUAAUGCAUUUCUCCUGACGACCUUAUGUAUAGCGAGGGCUUUAAUGCAAUAGGCUACUCUAUAUCUGGAAGCCACCUAAAUGAUACUUAUCAUGAGCUUAGAUCUGGUCCAGAUUAUGACCCACUACAAAUCAAGAAAACUCGAGCCAUAAAUCUACCCCUCUUGCUGACGACCUAAAAGCUUUGGGUUUGAGCGGUUGUAUUCUGAUGCCAGGUGAGAAUGUAUGUCCUCUCUAUUUCAAAAUAUCUAAAAAAAAGUUGAUUUAAGGAACUUUAAUUGAAAGGCUCCCUAAGGAUAAGUCUAUUGAGUACCAAGGCAAACAUCAAGUCGUCGAGAGACAUUUAAAAAUCAAAUUCACAUGGCACUCCAAGCCUGUCACAUUCUAUUCUGCGUCUAUCAGCUGCUACAUCUAAAAAUUCCAAAUCCAAAAAAAGAGAGGUG